GAUGAACGCUAGCGACAGGCUUAACACAUGCAAGUCGAGGGGCAGCGAGGGAGUGCUUGCGCUUCUGUCGGCGACCGGCGCACGGGUGAGUAACACGUAUGCAACCUGCCCUUGUCAGGGGGAUAAGCGAGGGAAACCUCGUCUAAUACCGCAUAUAUGAUUUAGAGGCAUCUCUUAAUCAGGAAAGAAUUAUCGGACAAGGAUGGGCAUGCGGGACAUUAGGUAGUUGGGGGUGUAACGGACCACCAAGCCGACGAUGUCUAGGGGUUCUGAGAGGAAGGUCCCCACACUGGUACUGAGACACGGACCAGACUCCUACGGGAGGCAGCAGUGAGGAAUAUUGGUCAAUGGGCGAGAGCCUGAACCAGCCAAGUCGCGUGAGGGACGACGGUACUAAGUAUUGUAAACCUCUUUGUCAGGGAACAAAGAGACCAACGUGUGGUAAGAUGAGUGUACCUGAAGAAAAAGCAAUCGGCUAACUCCGUGCCAGCAGCCGG
rnacentral:rRNA from 1 species